rnacentral:rRNA from 1 species
AACGAACGCUGGCGGCAUGCCUAACACAUGCAAGUCGAACGAUGCCUUCGGGCAUAGUGGCGCACGGGUGCGUAACGCGUGGGAAUCUGCCUUUCGGUUCGGAAUAACUCAGGGAAACUUGAGCUAAUACCGGAUAACGUCGCAAGACCAAAGAUUUAUCACCGAAAGAUGAGCCCGCGUAGGAUUAGCUAGUUGGUGAGGUAAAGGCUCACCAAGGCGACGAUCCUUAGCUGGUCUGAGAGGAUGAUCAGCCACACUGGGACUGAGACACGGCCCAGACUCCUACGGGAGGCAGCAGUGGGGAAUAUUGGACAAUGGGCGAAAGGCUGAUGCAGCAAUGCCGCGUGAGUGAUGAAGGCCUUAGGGUUGUAAAGCUCUUUUACCCGGGAAGAUAAUGACGGUACCGGGAGAAUAAGCCCCGGCUAACUCCGUG